rnacentral:hammerhead_ribozyme from 1 species
AUCCAGUCGACGAUUCCCAAAUAGGACGAAAUGCGCAUCCUGAAU